rnacentral:tRNA from 1 species
GCCCGAGUGGUGGAAUGGUAGACGCAGGGGAUUCAAAAUCCCCCGCCGAGAGGCUUGUCGGUUCGAGUCCGACCUCGGGUACCA